UACGUAGGGCGCAAGCGUUGUCCGGAAUUAUUGGGCGUAAAGAGCUCGUAGGCGGUUUGUCGCGUCUGGUGUGAAAACUCGAGGCUCAACCUCGAGCUUGCAUCGGGUACGGGCAGACUAGAGUGCGGUAGGGGAGACUGGAAUUCCUGGUGUAGCGGUGGAAUGCGCAGAUAUCAGGAGGAACACCGAUGGCGAAGGCAGGUCUCUGGGCCGCAACUGACGCUGAGGAGCGAAAGCAUGGGGAGCGAACGGG
rnacentral:rRNA from 1 species